UAUUUAUAAUAUUAUUAUUUGUUUUUGUGUAUUUUAUUAUUUAAUAGAAGUAAUUUUAUUUUAUUUUGUCUAAGUAUUUUUUAAAAAAUUGAUUAUUAUUAUUAUAGUUUAUUAGUAAUGUAAUUGAAUUAUGAAAUAUUAAUUUAAAUAAAUGAAAGUAUAUUUUGUUUAUUGUACCUUUUGUAUCAGGGUUUAUCAAAAUUUUAGUAUAUAUUUUCUAUUCUCGAUUUAAGUUGAUCUAUAAAUAAAUUUUAUUUAAUGUAGUAUAAUUAUUAAAAAUUUAUUUAUAGAAAUGAAAUGUUAUUCGUUUCUUAAGAUAUCUAGUUUCUUAAGAGAAAAAUUUAAUUUUUUUUAAUUUUGAUGUUUUUAUUUUAUUUUUUAAUAUAAAAUAUUAAUUUAUUUAUUUUUUAGGGGAUAAGCUCUAAAAAUAAAUAUCCUAUAAUUUAUAUGAUUUUGAAUAUAAAAAUAAGCUUUAAAUCAGCUAUUUUUGUGAUUACGUUUUAGUUCAUUAUUAAAAGAUAUAAUUUAAUAAUUAUUUUAGGUUUUUUAUUAAGAUGAUAAAUUUAAUUUUAAAUUUUUUGUAAUAAUGAUGGAAUUAGUAUAUUUAUUUUGUUUAUAAUGAUUUUUAUUAAGAAUUUAUUAUAAGGAACUAGGCAAGAAUUGAUUUUCGCCUGUUUAUCAAAAACAUGUCCUUUUGAUAAUAUUUUAAGGUCUAACCUGCUCACUGAGAUUUUAAAGAGCCGCGGUAUUUUGACCGUGCAAAGGUAGCAUAAUCAUUAGUUUAUUAAUUAUAGGCUGGAAUGAAUGGUUUGACGAAAAAUCAACUGUCUCUUAAUAAAUUUUAAAAUUUAACUUUUAAGUUAAAAGGCUUAAAUUUUUUUUUAGGACGAGAAGACCCUAUAGAGCUUAACAUUUAAGUUAUAUUUAUAAAUAAGAUUAUCUUUUUAUAUUUAAUGAAUAUGUUUUGUUGGGGUGACAUGAAGAAUUAAUAAACUCUUCAUUAUUAAUUCAUUAAUUUAUGUUAUUUUGAUCCAUUAUUUAUGAUCAUAAGAUUAAGUUACCUUAGGGAUAACAGCGUAAUUGUUUUCAAGAGCUCAUAUCGACAAAGCAGAUUGCGACCUCGAUGUUGGAUUAAGAAAAGUUUUGGGUGCAGUAACUCAUUAAUUAGGUCUGUUCGACCUUUAAAUUCUUACAUGAUCUGAGUUCAGACCGGCGUGAGCCAGGUCGGUUUCUAUCCUAAAAUUUAAUAAAUUCAUAUUAGUACGAAAGGACCAUAUGGGUGAAAUAUUUUUUGUUUAUAAUGAUUUAAAUUAAUUUUU
rnacentral:rRNA from 1 species